GGUAUGUACACUGUUUUUUAGACACAAAUCAUAUCAAUAAUCUCAGUAACCCUUCUGAAAAUAUUCAAGGCACCACCCUCAUCAAACAUUGCCCAAAGUCUGCUUAUUGAACUGCUUCUAAGAAACUGUACCAUCACUUGACAGCAGGCCAGGCGCGGUGGCUCACACCUGUAAUCCCAGCACUUUGGGAGGUAACUACUUCUUUAAGAUUAGUCAUAUAGAAUGUGAAAAACUACACUUACUGAAGUAUGAUGGAGAAAGGUCUAGCUGAAUUUUCACUAACUGAGGUUCUUGAUAUGGGGGUCCAUAGAGAAUUCAGGGAUCUGUGAAUAUGGAUGGGAACCUUUUCACUAACCUCUACACAAAAAUUAACAAUUCCUUCAAUCAAGAAUAUAAGUAACAAACUACAGUAGUAUUAGAAAACCUAUGAAUUUGUCAU
rnacentral:lncRNA from 1 species